UGGGAGCGAUCCUGCCGCCCCGAUUAUGGCUACGAGAAGCGCCGAGGGAGAUUGAAGCGGGCGGCACCCUGCCGCCCGAUUACUACAAGGAAUAAAGUACAGUACAGUGCCUUACUUUCAUGGAAGGGUUUUUCUAUUUUCAGGAAGUUUUUAAUGGAGAGAACAUUCAAAAGGUGUGAUCAGCCACUUGUAUUCUGAAGUGGUACAAUCUGUUCAACUAUCUCUUUUUGCUGAAUAUGAAACCAGGCCUUCAUCAUCCAUUCUCUCACAGGGAUCUCUAACUAGCAUCCCCUACGAAACAGAAAGAUUCUUCACAUCAUAAAAUAUUUCAGCUUCCGCCUCCUCAACCCUCCCUCCUCGGCAGCAGCUGCCUCCUGCCCCGACUGCCCCUCAGCCCUACUCUAUGGCUUCUCUCCUCUGGACAAGUCUCUCAACUCUCGCGAGAUGUGCCACGUACCACGGAAUUUGCUACAUACGUCCUAUGGCUUUUAAAUAUAUAGAUUGUCUUUUCAUGAAACAGAUGGUAAGAGAGAGUUUUCAUUAACCUGGCAA